CAUUACACAUUAAAAUUUUAUACUUUUCUUGACGCUAGAAUGCACUUGCUCUGUUACUAAACGCAGCUUCAGUUUUAGCUGUGCACGACCCCACGGAAAAGUCCAGCUUUAAUAAAGAUGUAAUGAACGGACUGGUGCUAGGUGCCCCACCCCUCCCCGCUUAAAUCUGAGGGAUGGAGUGUGUGUUUACAGAAUGUUUAAGCAUGCAAAAUGCAACCCCGAAGAUAUCUAUUUGGUUGGAUGGAGAGUAUUUAAUCAUUUAAAAAGUAGGCCGAAGAGACUUAGCCCAACCACAGUGGUAAACAGCUAUGAGCUGCAACAUAUAUAAAUUAAGUGUUCACUAAUUGGGGUGUGGAUAGAAGCCAUCCUUCAGCUAAGUGUUUCCAGUAUUAGUAUCUACUCUAGUUAAAGUAGUUAAGGAGUCCAUUUUAAUUAAGAAUGACAACUUUAUUCUCAAGGUUCCUUUUAUUUUGAUGGUUAAUAAGAUAAUUUUAUCACUUGCGUGUUACUGCUCUAGAGAGACAAUUUUAGGGAGUGGUUCAGGGAGAGUUUCAGCGGUGGAGUUUUCCUGAGGUCAUAUGUGUUACUGACCUAUGAUGGCCUCUGUCAUUCAGACACCUUCACCGGGGAAUGACUUAGGCAUGAGGACCUAUACUCUCCUCAUUCUCUUUUUCCACAAGUUAGCAAAAUGCCUUUGUUAUCUCAGAGAAGAGGUAGCAACCAGGAGUGUUUGCCACCAAAGUGGAGAGUUCAUUGUCUCCUCCAGUGUGUUGUGCUGUGUUGUGUGUGUGUGUGUGCUGAAUAGCUUCUUACCAGCAGGGAAUGGAAGUGUUUAUUUAAGAACCAUUUAAUGAAGGUGGUCUUUCAGAGGGAUCAGUUAGGUCAUCUGUACCCUUGCCCAUUUUCUUUUUCUUUGUUAAUAUCAUUUUUUGAAUUAUUUAUACAGCAUUCUGCUUGUGUACCAGAAGAGAGCACCAGAUCUCACCAUAGAUGGCUGUGAGACACCAUAUGGUUGCUGGGAAUUGAACUCAGGACCUUUGGAAGAACAGCUAACAUUCUUAACCUCUGAGACAUCUCUCCAGCCCCCCUUGCUCAUUUUCAACCCAGUGCUGCAUCAAUUUUAGCAGUAAUUUGAAGAGAUCUAGUUGCUUACUUUAAUCAUUUUUGCAGCUAGUACAGAAGAUAUAAUUUUAUCCUUUUUUUUACAAACUGGUUUGUAUUCAGAUCUAUCUUCGUUACUCAAAAUUGGUUAAAUGUACAAUAACUACAAUAUAUUAAAUUUGGGUUUGCCUCACAAAUAAUAGUAAUAAAAUGAUAUUCAAAUUCCUCCUCCAUUAGAAGGAACUGAAGUGGAGAUUUUGGGUGCCUAAGGACUUUUCAGUUGUGAGUUCAAACCUCUGUACUGUAAUUGCUGAAUGGGUGAUUCCUGGCCUCAUUGCCCACAUUUGCCCAGUGAAGAUAAUGUCACAAGGUGUGGUGGUUUAAAUAAGAAUGGUCUCCGUAGGAUCAUAUAUUUGAAUGCUUGGCCACCAGGCAGGGGUGAGUGAAAGGAUUUGAAGGGCUAAGGAAGGGAUGUAACCUUGUUGGAGGAAGUCUGUCGCUGAGGGUAGGCUUUGAGAUUUCAGAAGCCCAUGGGCAAGUCCAGUCUCUUUCUUUUUGCUGCCUUUGGAUCCAGAUGUCGAGCUCUCAGCUACCAUGUCUGCCUGCAUGCCACCACACUCCCUGCCAUGAAGAUAAUGGACUAACCCUCCGAAACUGUAAGCCAUCCCCAGUUAAAUGCUGUCUUUUAUAAGAGUUGCUGUGGCCGUGGUGUCUCUUCUCAGCAACAGAACACCGAUUAAGGCACCAGGAGUGUGCCUGUGGGAAAGGAUAUGAGGAGAACAGCCAUAUGUGAGGUGCCCUGGAUGAAUAUACUCACUCGUGUCACCUUGGAGAACUAAGACUUUCCGGUGUCCUCAUUUGCUCAGACACUUAAAACUCAAGCCCUGCUUCAUGCUCAGGCCGACCGUUUGCAUGCUUCUGAGGGUCUGUUCAAACAUGCCACCAGUGUGUCCAGCUGACGGCAGUGACAGAGCUGUGCUCCACCUUCCUCCCCGGAAGCUGCUGGAAGGGGAGCUCAGCAGCAACACACUGCUCCAGAUGGUGAGCUGAGAUGAAGCUGUCUUCUUAGCCUUGGUUGGAAUGGACAAUCCUUGCAAAAUCUCAGAAGGGUCUAUGGUGUCAGCAUCCCCACACAGCUACCUGUAGGGGCAGGGAUGAUGGCAGUAUCUGCUGGCUGUCGAUGAUGACUGUGUUUGAUGGUCUUGACCACAUGUCUGGUGGAGUAUUAGCCUGGCUAAGUGUGCCCUGAAGCAGUAUUUUGGGGGCGAUGUUACUUCUUUAACUCUUGUUUAGGAUAGCUGCGUCCUCUGUGACAUCCUCUACUGACCGUCAAGAUCAACUAGUCAGUUUUUGAGAAAACACCAAUCUGAAAAUUGUCAUAUCUUCGGGUAGAUGAAUUUUUAAGCAUCAGUAUGGCAUGCUAUUUGCAUAUACCUCUUAUACCGGAGCCUUUCUGUGUCCUUAUAGUCAAAAUGUAAAGACUGCUCCAUAAGAUGGAUUGUUAGUUGGUACUGUAACUAGCCGAGUCAUAGGCCCUGGGGAAGAACCUUCUAUGAUUCUGCUGAAUAGAGUAAUAAGCUGUCUCUUAAGUUCCUGUCUCCCUACUCAUGGAUUAUUGUAUCUCUCAACCCUCAUCAGUAGGUGGUGAUUAAUACAGAGCCCCUCAACUGGUCAACAUGUAGAGAAUAAUGGAAUAAAUGGGACACCUACAUCACACUUCCCAUACAGGUCAGGGAUUAUCAUGGAAGAAAAGGCAGCAACCUUGUAAGAGCCAGAGCAAGUGAAUGUCUGCAGCAAAACAGCAUUUGUCGGAUGUGAACGGUUUCACAUGUGGAUUUAUAAUGGCAAACUGCAAGCCUAGGACCUAUACAAGAUCAAGACAGCCGAACUCCCAGCAUGGAUGGGAGAGGGGCUCAGGAAGCGCCACCCUAUCUGAGGAGCUGUUGGCAACUGACGGAUAAAUGAGAGAGGAAAAGGGAGAGGGAGUGUUCUCUCCCCAGGAUGAAGAUCCUGAGAGAUGACUCAUGCUCCAGUAGAUGGUCCUAUAUCCUUGCAAAUGCAGACAGGACUAAAUGGACCCAAUGGCUAUUAAAUUAUAUAUGUGAGGUUGGGAGGGAAAGGGCAUGGGGAGUGAAUAAGAGGAAUGGGAGGGGGAGGAGCAAUUCAAGUACAUUAUCUGAACAUAUGGACAAGUAAAAUAUUUAAUAUUAACAAGUAAAAUAUUUAAUGAAAAGAAGACCCUUCAACAUUUCUUUUAUUAUUGAUAUGCUGAAAUCAAAUCUUUUUUUCAGUACUUCUAAAUGUGAAUAAUAUUUUAACUGAAUAUAGAAAACUACAUGACAACAAUUUCUUCCCAACUUUAAAGUAUCAUUUUGUUUUCUGGCUUCUGUGCUUUUGUGGAGAACUUAUUUGAAGCUCUUGGGAAGGUAAUAGUUUUUCUUUCUUAUUUGCUGUUCAUGGUUCCAGCUUUAUAUUUGUCAGUUAGCUAUUGUCCUAUGAUGUCACCAAUAAUGUGUUUAUCUUGAUUUGGUUUUGACAUCCUGCAUGUCCAAUGGAAAAUU